CGCAUCUGUGCAUGCAGCAUAUCAAUAAGCGGAGGAAAAGAAACUAACAAGGAUUCCCUUAGUAACGGCGAGCGAAGCGGGAAGAGCUCAAAUUUGAAAUCUUCAAGGUUUUACCUUGACGAAUUGUAGUUUAAAGAAGUGUUUUCUGUUGAAGUUUUGGUAAAAGUUCUUUGGAAUAGGACAUCAUAGAGGGUGAGAAUCCCGUAUUUGACCAUUAUUUUCAGCUGUGUGAUACACUUUCAAAGAGUCGGAUUGUUUGGGAAUGCAGUCCAAGAUGGGUGGUAAAUUUCAUCUAAAGCUAAAUAUUGGCGAGAGACCGAUAGCGAACAAGUACCGUGAGGGAAAGAUGAAAAGAACUUUGAAAAGAGAGUUAAACAGUACGUGAAAUUGUCAAAAGGGAAGCGUUUGACACCAGUGUUGUUUUCUCGAAAAUCAAUUAAAAAGAGUUUGAUUUUGUUGUGUAUUGACCUUAACAGCUUGCAUUUCAAUUUUCUUGCUUUUUUUAAUGCACUUUUCGUUUAACAAGUCAACAUCAGUUUCUUUUGUUGUAAAAAGGUCAUUGGAAGGUGGCUUUCUUUUCGGAGAAAGUGUUUAUAGCCUUUGACUCCUGCAAUCGGAGAGACUGAGGUCUGCAGCGUAGAUCCUUCGGGGUUAGAUACAUUUGUGCUAAGUUAUAGCUUUUUAUAGACAACUUGUUGACUAUGAUUAGUCUUGUAGCUUACUCGCUUAUGCUAUUUUACCUACGCUUAGGAUGUUGAACUCUAUCACACACAG
rnacentral:rRNA from 1 species